CGCAGCCGCGGUAAUUCCAGCUCCAAUAGCGUAUAUUAAAGUUGUUGCAGUUAAAAAGCUCGUAGUUGAAUUUCGGAAUUUGUCGGUUGGUCGGGCUUCACUGUCCGCACUGACCUGAUGGAUUCCUACCUUCUGAAUAACCAGCAUGCUAUUAAGUUAGUGCGUUGGGGAAGCAGAGCUAUUACCUUGAAAAAUUAGAGUGCUUAAAGCAGGCUUGUGCUUGAAUAGAUUAGCAUGGAAUAAUAAAAUAGGACGGCAUGGUUCUAUUUUGUUGGUUUCUAGGAUCACCGUAAUGAUUAAUAGGGAUAGUUGGGGGCAUUAGUAUUCAAUUGUCAGAGGUGAAAUUCUUGGAUUUAUUGAAGACUAACUUCUGCGAAAGCAUUUGCCAAGGAUGUUUUCAUUAAUCAAGAACGAAAGUUAGGGGAUCGAAGGCGAUCAGAUACCGUCGUAGUCUUAACCAUAAACUAUGCCGACUAGGGAUCGGACGAUGUUAAUUUUUAAUGACUCGUUCGGCGCCUUA
rnacentral:rRNA from 1 species